AAGUCGUAACAAGGUUUCCGUAGGUGAACCUGCGGAAGGAUCAUUAACACGUAUCCACGUUAAAACCCCCCCCGUGAACCUUCAUCCUGCUCUUGUAACGCGCGUAGUUCGUAAUCUCUGAUAAAUCAUAGCCCGGAAAGUUGUAGUGAUUCAUAAACUGUGGGGUUAUUAGGGCCCUUUGGCAAAGCUCCUGCCUGAGUGUACGGUCUACAGGAAUCGUAGAAGCGCUAUCCUUGCACAAUCAAUGACACUUUCCAACACUGACUGCUUGGGGAAACAUUGCCUAUAGCUACCGCUCGAUUGUAACUGUUCCAAUGUUCGCACGUAGCCAGAGGUCUCCAUGUGAAGCUCAAUGUAGGUUCUC
rnacentral:misc_RNA from 1 species